rnacentral:rRNA from 1 species
CACGUAGGGUGCGAGCGUUGUCCGGAAUUAUUGGGCGUAAAGAGCUCGUAGGCGGUGUGUCGCGUCGGCCGUGAAAACCUGCAGCUUAACUGUGGGCUUGCGGUCGAUACGGGCAGACUGGAGUACUGCAGGGGAGACUGGAAUUCCUGGUGUAGCGGUGGAAUGCGCAGAUAUCAGGAGGAACACCGGUGGCGAAGGCGGGUCUCUGGGCAGUAACUGACGCUGAGGAGCGAAAGCAUGGGGAGCGAACAGG